rnacentral:rRNA from 1 species
UACGGGGGAUGCAAGCGUUAUCCGGAUUUAUUGGGUUUAAAGGGUGCGUAGGCUGUGAGGUAAGUCAGCGGUGAAAUACCGGGGCUCAACCCCGGGGCUGCCGUUGAAACCGGAGCGCUAGAAUUCCGAUGCCGUCGGAGGAAUGUGUGGUGUAGCGGUGAAAUGCAUAGAUAUUAGGAGGAACAUCGGUGGCGAAGGCGGCUUACUGGGCUUUUACUGACGCUGAGGCUCGAAAGCGUGGGGAGCAAACAGG